rnacentral:lncRNA from 1 species
CUGGGGUCCCAAGGGCAGUCCAGACAACCUGAACCUGUGACACUCACCCUGCCCACACACUCUCAGAGCUGCAGCUUUCACGGGGGUGACAUGAAUGCUUGUAAAUGAGCUUGCUGAAUGGGAGACCAAGAACGAUGAUAUUGAGCUGUUACUACAUGCCAGACAUUUAACCCUUUCAUCCAGGUUAUCUCAAUCAUUCCUUACAGAAAGGCUUUUGAGAUGUCCUUGCAACUGGAGGUGCCAUAUGAUACAGUUCUGCCCAAAGACAAGAAAGUGAAUGUCUGUUGAGGGCUUCCUAUAAGGCCAAUACAUACAGGUGUUCCCAACAACAGGACACAGCAAGAAGAUGGCUGUCUAUGAACCUGAAUAUGUCUAGCCCUCACCAGACACUGAAUCUGAGAGAACCUUGAUCUUGGAUUUC